GUAGGGAAUAUUGCACAAUGGAGGAAACUCUGAUGCAGCGACGCCGCGUGAGUGAUGAAGGCCUUCGGGUCGUAAAACUCUGUGAUAAGGGAAGAUGAUGACGGUACCUUAUCAGAAAAGACCGGCUAACUUCGUGCCAGCAGCCGCGGUAAUACGAGGGGUCUAAGCGUUGUUCGGAAUCACUGGGCGUAAAGCGGGUGUAGGUGGCUAUGCAAGUUGGAUGUGAAAGCCCCUGGCUCAACCCGGGAAGUGCAUCCAAAACUACGUAGCUUGAGUGCGGGAGAGAAAGGCAGAAUUCCUGGUGUAGUGGUGAAAUACGUAGAUAUCAGGAGGAACUCCGGUGGCGAAGGCGGCCUUUUGGCCCAGCACUGACACUCAGACCCGAAAGCGUGGGUAGCAAACAGGAUUAGAUACCCUGGUAGUCC
rnacentral:rRNA from 1 species